GUUUUUUACGACACUUUCUGCUGGUUUUGCAUGAGGAUGAGAUAUUUCUAAACUGUGCUUUUCUUUACAUGUACUUUUUUCUAAUUGCGUUGGUGGUUUUUUUUCUUUUUAAUGUCGCUUAUUCACUUGCAUGAGAUUGAAGUAAUGCCAGGUUCUAGUUGAUAUUUCUCAAGUACAGAAAAAAAUCCAUUGAAUGUUGCAACUAAAGUAUCAAAUGAUAUCAAAACCAAAACAGUAAGACAAAAAAUAAGUUCAAUUGUGAGGACGAGGAUACAAAGUCCCAUCUAUUGGAUCAGCAAGGAAUUCAGGAUUGAGUUCUCUGUCGAUUCCAUGUUUUUGUGGUUGGGUUUAGCACCACUGAUGAGACCUAUGGUGGAUCGAAACCAAGAUUGUUGAUGUUUGAUCAUAAAUGCGUUGUGUUUGGACUCUCGAAUAGCACAGAAAAAAAUCUUUCACUAAAGUAAAUAUGUGAAUCAGUUCAUUUUGAAGAAUCUUCAACGGAGGGAUCGAUCUUAACUUUUGUGGGUAUUCAUUUCUAUUGAACAAGUUUCAUUUAAAAUUUACCAUGAUGGAGAGAGAUUAAAGACUGGUUAUCAUACUAAGCAGAGUUUACUCCAUAGUAUUUUUUUGAACGGAAUAGCACUCAUGAUAUAAUUUCAGAUAGCAGAUUUUUCGACAAAACGUAAACGAAUUUUUAGAUUGAAUGUAAAUUGAACGGGGAUUAUUGAAAUUGACUCAGAUAUUUUUGUUUCAAUGAAAAAAUUCUCGGUUGAUUCACACUGACUAAAACUGGCAUUACUUCAGAAUUCGCCUUGGAAUUAGCAUAUUAAUUUAUCAACUUCAAUCUACUAUUCAAUUUUAGUCUUCAAUAUAAUAAAGUUUAUGCAGUAAAAAAGAUUCGAAAAAACAUCAAAAUCAAUUGUGGUGAAGGCUACUUAUACCGGGUGAGUCAAAAAUGCUCAGCUGUAAACAAUGUUUAUAAGGCCAUUAAAGAUAUAAGCUAUUUAUGUAUUAUAAAUGAACUUUUGAUGAAAUAACAUAUUUUGUUUAUCGUCUGAAGAGAAUACUUUAUGAUCUUGAUCAAAUUUUAUUGGUUUAUAUUAAUUGGGACAAUAAACUAAAUACUUCUGUAUUACAAGUAACCCUCUCAUUAAAAAUGAUACUGACUCAUACAGAACACAUACAAAUGCAAGAAAAUCAUCAGAUAAAAUAAAAAGACGAAUUACAAAAGAGGACCUCAAUGUAGUAUAGACUGAUAACUCUCUGGCUAGAUAAAUGAAAAACAACAAGUCAAAAAUGAACAAAGAACAAAUCAGUGGCCUACAGACUAACAUGAGAAUCGUGCUCGAAAGUUUCUAUAGGAAUAUCUGAACACUAAAGAAGUUUUUGACUAAAGAAAACCAAUUCCACGUAUGUUUACAACCUUUUAGAGAACAACCACUAUGUCAACUUGGACUAUGACAUGUAUACAGAAAAAAAAAAUACAAAAAUUAAACCUGCUGCUGGAAUCUAGAAAUCAAUAAAUGCAAACAUUCAAACUCUUUCACACGACCGACAAGAAGUAAUUCAAUCAUUCUUGAACUUGCUUUCAUAAAAUGACAAUGAUUAAAAUAUUUCUAAAUUACUUGUUCAAUAUGAGAUUCCUACUUGUUGAUGAAGCUACUGUGUAGCGAAUCACGUCUUAAUUAACAUUCAUUGUGAAAAUCGUAUAACUAUGAGUAUUGUCAUUGAUAGUGUUAUUAAUUUUCAUUAAUAACAUGAGUAAAAUAAUGUUAUGUUGAGGCCAUAGAAUAAUAUGAACAUGUAUUAAAGAUGAAUACAGCUUAAUAGAAUAGAAUAGAAUAAGUGAAUAUUUGUAUAGGAUUUGUUUUAUACUUUUUGGUUACUCUAUAAAAUUUGUUAUGAAUUUUCAGUAAUUUUAUAAUAUAAUUUUUCAAAUUAGUUUUUGAACAAUGAUAAGCAACAUAGUUUACAAUGUUGCUUGUCGCUUCCAGUAUUGUAUUAUAUUUUGUGACAGAAAAGAGUAGGUAUAUGUUAUUGAAUUUUUCACAAUAACAAUGGAAUAAAAGUAUUUAUACAGUU